rnacentral:rRNA from 2 species
AGGUUAAGUUAACAAGGGCGCAUGGUGAAUGCCUUGGCACUAGGAGCCGAUGAAGGACGGGACUAACACCGAUAUGCUUCGGGGAGCUGUACGUAAGCUAUGAUCCGGAGAUUUCCGAAUGGGGCAACCCAGCAGUUUUAAUCAACUGUUACCACUAGAUGAAUUCAUAGUCUAGUUGGAGGUAAACGCUGUGAACUGAAACAUCUCAUUAGCAGCAGGAAUAUAAAGAAAUUUCGAUUCCCUAAGUAGCGGCGAGCGAACGGGGAACAGCCCAAACCAAAGUGCUUGCACUUUGGGGUUGUAGGACUGAACAUUUGAGUUACCAAAGAACUUGAUAGUCGAAGGAUUUGGGAAAAUCCGCCAUAGAUGGUGAUAGCCCAGUAGAUUAAAUCAAAUUCUCUCAGUUCAGGAUCCUGAGUACGGCGGAACACGUGAAAUUCCGUCGGAAUCCGGGAGGACCAUCUCCCAAGGCUAAAUACUACCUAGUGACCGAUAGUGAACCAGUACCGUGAGGGAAAGGUGAAAAGCACCCCGGGAGGGGAGUGAAAUAGUUCCUGAAACCAUGUGCCUACAAUAAGUCAGAGCGCGUUAAUGCGUGAUGGCGUGCCUUUUGUAGAAUGAACCGGCGAGUUAUGAUCCCGUGCAAGGUUAAGACUAAAAAGUCGGAGCCGUAGCGAAAGCGAGUCUGAAAUGGGCGUUUUGAGUACGAGGUUAUAGACCCGAAACCAGGUGACCUAUCCAUGUCCAGGUUGAAGGUGCGGUAAAACGCACUGGAGGACCGAACCCGUGUAAGUUGAAAAUUGCUGGGAUGAGGUGUGGAUAGCGGUGAAAUUCCAAACGAACUUGGAGAUAGCUGGUUCUCUCCGAAAUAGCUUUAGGGCUAGCCUCGGAAUUAGGAUCAUGGAGGUAGAGCACUAUUUGGACUAGGGGCCCGUCUUGGGUUACUGAAUUCAGAUAAACUCCGAAUGCCAUUGAUUCAUAUCCGGGAGUCAGACGAUGAGUGAUAAGAUCCACCGUCGAAAGGGGAACAGCCCAGACCAUCAGUUAAGGUCCCUAAAUGUAUGCUAAGUGGAAAAGGAUGUGGAGUUGCAUAGACAACUAGGAUGUUGGCUCAGAAGCAGCCACCAUUUAAAGAGUGCGUAAUAGCUCACUAGUCGAGUGAUCCUGCGCCGAAAAUGUACCGGGGCUAAGCAUACUACCGAAACCAUGGAUGCGACCAUUAGGUCGCGUGAUAGGAGAGCGUUCUAAGGGCGGUGAAGCAAGAUCGUGAGGACUUGUGGAGCGCUUAGAAGUGAGAAUGCCGGUAUGAGUAGCGAAAGAUAGGUGAGAAUCCUAUCCACCGAAUGACUAAGGUUUCCUGGGGAAGGCUCGUCCUCCCAGGGUUAGUCGGGACCUAAGUCGAGGCCGAGAGGCGUAGACGAUGGAUAACAGGUUGAGAUUCCUGUACUAGUUAAGUGCGUUUGAGCAAUGGAGGGACGCAGGAGGCUAAGAUGUGCAUUCUGUUGGAUUAGAAUGUCCAAGCAGUAAGUCUUGUGAAGAGUCAAAUGCUUUUCACUUUAAGGACAAGCUGUGAUGGGGAGCGAAAUUUAGUAGCGAAGCGUCUGAUGUCACACUGCCGAGAAAAGCUUCUAGUGAGUACUUAACUACCCGUACCGCAAACCGACACAGGUAGUCGAGGAGAGAAUCCUAAGGUGAGCGAGUGAACUCUCGUUAAGGAACUCGGCAAAAUGACCCCGUAACUUCGGGAGAAGGGGUGCUGAUCGCAAGAUCAGCCGCAGUGAAUAGGCCCAGGCGACUGUUUAUCAAAAACACAGGUCUCUGCAAAAUCGUAAGAUGACGUAUAGGGGCUGACGCCUGCCCGGUGCUGGAAGGUUAAAAGGAUGGGUUAGCUUCGGCGAAGCUCAGAAUUGAAGCCCCAGUAAACGGCGGCCGUAACUAUAACGGUCCUAAGGUAGCGAAAUUCCUUGUCGGGUAAGUUCCGACCCGCACGAAAGGCGUAACGAUCUGGGCACUGUCUCAACGAGAGACUCGGUGAAAUUAUAUUGUCCGUGAAGAUGCGGACUACCCGCGACAGGACGGAAAGACCCCAUGGAGCUUUACUGUAGCUUGAUAUUGAGUGUUUGUACAGCUUGUACAGGAUAGGUAGGAGCCAUAGAAACCGGAACGCUAGUUUCGGUGGAGGCGUUGGUGGGAUACUACCCUCGCUGUAUGACCACUCUAACCCGCACCACUAAUCGUGGUGGGAGACAGUGUCAGGUGGGCAGUUUGACUGGGGCGGUCGCCUCCUAAAAAGUAACGGAGGCGCCCAAAGGUUCCCUCAGAAUGGUUGGAAAUCAUUCGUAGAGUGUAAAGGCACAAGGGAGCUUGACUGCGAGACAGACAGGUCGAGCAGGGACGAAAGUCGGGCUUAGUGAUCCGGUGGUACCGUAUGGAAGGGCCAUCGCUCAACGGAUAAAAGCUACCCUGGGGAUAACAGGCUUAUCUCCCCCAAGAGUCCACAUCGACGGGGAGGUUUGGCACCUCGAUGUCGGCUCAUCGCAUCCUGGGGCUGUAGUCGGUCCCAAGGGUUGGGCUGUUCGCCCAUUAAAGCGGUACGCGAGCUGGGUUCAGAACGUCGUGAGACAGUUCGGUCCCUAUCCGUCGCGGGCGUAGGAAAUUUGAGAGGACCUGUCCUUAGUACGAGAGGACCGGGAUGGACAUACCUCUGGUGUACCAGUUGUGCCGCCAGGCGCAUCGCUGGGUAGCUACGUAUGGAUGUGAUAAACGCUGAAAGCAUCUAAGUGUGAAACACACCUCGAGAUGAGAUUUCCCAUUCCUUUAUGGAAGUAAGACCCCUGAAAGAUGAUCAGGUAGAUAGGUUAGAAGUGGCAGUGCGGUGACGCAUGAAGCGGACUAAUACUAAUCGGUCGAGGACUUAACCAAG